UCCUGCUAGCAGGUACCCUCCACACUCAAUGGCCUUUUUCUCCUCCAGCUGCCCCCCAGGUACAGGGUACAUCUGUACCCCCAGGUACAGAUAUGUAUAAUCAGCAGACUCUUGAAGACUGAGGAGCAUCAAAAGAAAAGACCAUCAUCUGUUGAGGAUCCACUGUAUGUAGGGACUUGGAACGUUCAGUAGUCUUUGUCCUCAAAGCCUCGAGCAGCACCUGGCACCCCGCAGGAUCUCUGCAAAUCGCAGAUGACGGGUAGCGGAAGCAGGGACUGGUCACGCACACCCUCACCUCGAGACCCCGGCCCGAGGCAGGGCUCGGUAAGUGUAGGCCGAGAGACAUGGCUCAGACGUCGUGGGCCUGUGCUCCCCGGGAAUGGCUGCUUCGUCCUCGUGAGCAUCGAGGUGGCAGACUCAGGGGGGUACCAGGCCAUUAAAAGAGGCCAAUAAAGGAUCACAGAUGAAACCUGCCGGUGACGGCUGCCCGAAGGUCACGGUCAUACCAGCCUGCAGAGGAAAGCGGUCUGACACGGGCGCCCUGACCAGCCAUGGGAGGACGCAAGGAGUUGGGAGGAGCGGGGGGGGGGGGGGGGAACAGGGACAGGAUGUUGGAAGUGACCUUGAGACUGUUCCCCCAACUCUGCCCGGACUCCUAUAUGAGGGCUCUGCUUCACUGGCGGUUCGUCAGAAAAGUCUCCUGGGGCACCACCCCUCCACCUCUGUUCUCUCCUUAUGAUGUCUUCUUCUCGAGCACUUGUGUUUGGGUAACGUCUGUCUCCUGUUUUCUGUGAGCUCCUUGGGGACAGGGACAGGACUGUUUUCCUCCACAGUGUUUGUUGAGCAAAUGAUCUCUGGGUGGAGAGACGAGGCGGGGACCUGGGAGCGGGAGAAGCGCUUAGGAGGCAAGGCGAGGGCUGAGCUUUGGAGGCGAAGGACUCGGGCCUGUGACACUCAGCACAGACACAGCCCGGAGAUCUGGAGGUGGGGCUGCUGCUCUUGUCUCUCCAGGUGGCUGGUCACCUUUCCAUGAGAAAGCCUGGGGGUUAUUUAGUGGGAUCCAGGUCAUGCGGUGGGAGGCCCUCACUCCACACGGCAGAUCCCCUCCCGAGGGACGGGGACCUCAUCACCUGGCCUCACAGUGCAUUUGGGGAGGCGGAGGGUUGGGGGGGUGGCGCGGAGAGAUGGGCUCUGAGAAUCGUUUCGUGUCUCCUUUUCCAGGAGCUCCUGGCCACCGCUGCACCACAUUCAGGGAGGAAGGAAAGCAGAUGGGGGGGGACCUCUGCCCGGAGAGCGGAAGCACUGGGUCCCAGGUCACACCGAACAGCAACGGCAGAGCCGUGAUCCCUAGCGUGCAAAGAACUCGCGCAUUCAUUACCUUACUCCACAUCUCACGGGGCACGUGUUACUAUCCUCAUUUGACAGAUGAGAAAACUAAGGCUCAGAGAUGGUGCAACACUGAGCUCAAGGUCAUACAGGUUAAAAAAAAAAAAAAGGUGGAUCCAGGACACCUGCCCCCGGAGAGAGGAGAGGCUGUGUGUGUGUGCCUCCAGGAAGGGAACAAUCACCCCUUUAAAAGGCACAUGAAAAAUAAAGCAAGGAGAAGCCUGGACCUUCAGAGAAAGAGAGGGGAACACAAAAUAUCUUUUUCUUUUCCCAGAACGGCAGCCUGUGUGAGCCCGCGGGGCCCUCACAUCUGUCUCCUCACACAAAAUGAAAGAGGUUUUGAAAAACAAGAGGGGCUCUAAUAAAGCAUAGACUGUGCUGGGCACAGAGCUGUGUCCAGCGUGUCCUGUCACCGUCACCGCCGAGGAGACAGCGGCCGGGCUGUUCCCGCACCCAGGCUCUGCCCCAACCCCGGGGCUCCAGGAGAGGUGCAGACAGAUGAACACAUUCACGCCAGGCUGAGGGAGAAGCCAGGAGGCCCAGAGCCCAGCUGCCCAGGGCAGAAACCCAAAGCCACGGCUCAUCCCAUCAGCAAACAGGGACUCUCAGCAGUGUGACCGCUUCUCAGAACCCAGCCCCCGUCCGCAGGGCUCCUCGGGGCUCUCCCAGAAAUCAGACCAGCAGCGUCUCUUGACGGGGCUGUAUCCGUCACCUACCGCCGCAUAACAAAUGACUCCCGGGUUGAGCAGCUUCAGACAACCGGCACGUAUAAUCCCACAUGGUUUCUGCAGGUCAGGAACCGGGAGUGGCCGAGCCGGGGAGUUCCAGCUCAGGGUCCCUCAUGAGACCGCACCGCUGUUGCCCACGGCUGCGGUCAACCAGGGCUGGAGAAUCCGUCCCCAGCCCACCCAUCGCGUGGUUGUGUCAGGUGGGUUGGUUCCUCCUGGCUGUUGGCUCGGGGCUUCAGUUCCUCCCCACGUGGGCAUCUCCCUAUGGCUGCUUGUAGAUGCGGUGACUGGUUUUCCCCAGAACCGAUAAUCCAAGGGCAAGAGCCCGAGCCCGGAGCCACAGUCUUUUAAAGCUUCAUCUCAGAAGUGACCUCAUCACUUUUGUCAUUUGCCGGUGGUUUGCACAGACCAACCCAGGUACUACGUGGGAGGGUGCGACGGGAGGGCGUGGACCAGCCUGGGGGGCGCCAUCGCCUUCCUGGAGACAUCGCUCCACCGAGGGUGGCAUCCCUGGCCCUGCCCUCCAAACGUCAGGGGCUCCCCGAGUCGCUCUGCAAUCAAAAUACAACCCCCGGUUCCCUCUCCUGCCUCAAUCUCUCUCCAUCCCACACACUUCCAGACGCUUCUUAGGAGUAUUUCUUAUCAUAGGACCAUGGGCCCCACGCCCUCAGGAGCAUAUGAUGAGCAAGAAGCUUUGGCAAUAAUGAAGAAGCCAUCUGUAAAUGGGUAGAGUAGAAUAACCAUGAAUCACAGGGCCGCUUGGGUCCGGAUUCACAGCCCAUCUCUUACGAGCUGGUGUAAAGGUGGGCGAGUCACUUCCCGUCCUCCUUCGGGUUCCUGAUCUGGGAAAUGGGGGUAAAUAAGACCCAGCUUGCAGAGCUGUGGUGAGCGGUAAACGAGACAAGGUAUGUAUGUCAAGCACCCCUAGUAGGAGCUCAGCAAACCAUUUGCUUUGGCAUGGAUAUCAGGCUCCAGGCAGAAAUUCGCUGUUUCUUUAGUACCCGAUGUCCAGCUGUCGCCGCAAGAACGCGGUCUGGCGAAUCAGGAAGCUCAAACACUGCUCUUGGCUUUGGGGGAGUCGCUCUAAAUUUUCCUGGGCCCCAACUCCCUUGGUCACACCUGGGAAACAAAUCAAUUCUCAUUAUUUUAUCCUUUCCAGGAAUGUAAUGAUGGAAAAGAGAGAAUAAAUAGAAGAAGGCCUUUCAGGAUUUAAAGUUCGAGUGUAGCAGAGAUUCUGUGCCUGCUGGAUUUCACGUCCCCACAGAGUCUGGCCACUUGACCGGCAAAUGUACACCGAGUGACCACGAUGUGUCAAGCGUUACGCCCAUCAGCCGUACCCGAGGCGGAAGGAGAUUGGAACAGCGAGCUGUGGGACUACAGAGCAAAGAACCUUCCUUCGAAGGGGUUUGCGGCUCCGCAGGUAGAAGGUCCUGAAUCUGGGAUCCAUGAUGCAAUGGAUGUGUACAUUUAAGGUAGUGUUGACUUUGAUUAAAAAGAUGGUAGUCCA